rnacentral:rRNA from 1 species
GACGAACGCUGGCGGCGUGCUUAACACAUGCAAGUCGAACGAAGUGGCGAACGGGUGAGUAACGCGUAAUCAACCUGCCCUUCAGAGGGGGACAACAGUUGGAAACGACUGCUAAUACCGCAUACUGAAGGAGGGGAUUGCGUCUGUUUAGCUAGUUGGAGGGGUAACGGCCCACCAAGGCGAUGAUCAGUAGCCGGUCUGAGAGGAGGAAGGGCCACAGUGGGACUGGGACACGGGCCAGACGCCUACGGGAGGCCGCAGUGGGGAAUCUUCCGGAAUGGAAGAAAGUCUGACGGAGCAACGCCGCGUGAGUGAUAACGGGUUUCGGGUUGUAAAGCUCUGUUAAUCGGGACGCGGUACCGGAAUAGAAAGCCACGGCUAACUACGUGCCAGCAGCCGCGGUAAUUC